rnacentral:rRNA from 1 species
CCUACGGGAGGCAGCAGUGGGGAAUAUUGGGCAAUGGGCGCAAGCCUGACCCAGCAACGCCGCGUGAAGGAAGAAGGCUUUCGGUUUGUAAACUUCUUUUCUCAGGGACGAAGCAAGUGACGGUACCUGAGGAAUAAGCCACAGCUAACUACGUGCCAGCAGCCGCGGUAAUGCGUAGGUGGCAAGCGUUAUCCGGAUUUACUGGGUGUAAAGGGCGUGUAGGCGGGACUGCAAGUCAGAUGUGAAAACCACGGGCUCAAACUGUGGCCUGCAUUUGAACAUGUAGUUCUUGAGUACUGGAGAGGCAGACGGAAUUCCUAGUGUAGCGGUGAAAUGCGUAGAUAUUAGGAGGAACACCAGUGGCGAAGGCGGUCUGCUGGACAGCAACUGACGCUGAGGCGCGAAAGCGUGGGGAGCAAACAGGAUUAGAUACCCCUGUAGUC